rnacentral:lncRNA from 1 species
UCUCUUAUAUACUAAAGCGCAAGUCGCCUGACGAAUCAGGUUAUGACAUUUGGCAAAUUUUUACAAAAAAAAAUUAAAAUAAAAACAAAUUUUCGCUAUCUCCUAUUUUUAUGCAAUCCUCAACUACCUAAAAACAUUCCUUAUUUUUCUCAGAAUUUUAAUACCACGUUAGUUACUUUUUUAUCAAACUGUUUUCUUCAUCUCCUCCAAUAUAUAAUCUGUAAGUGUACUGGCUUUCUUCUCCACGUUUUAUCUAUUACCAAAAAGUUUUUAGUUUGUGAUUACAUUAUCAAAACCAGGAGCAUCACGUUUUAAAAGGAAGAAGUAAGUGAUUCAUUGUUAUUAUAAUGAUGGCAAAUUAUGAGAAAUCCGUUCCAUGUUUUACUGCAACUAUAAAUCUUCUUCUUUUUGUCACCACAACUAGACUCCCAAAGCACAAUAUCAAUCUAUAGAGGAAAAAAAGAAACAAAUGAAGAAGAAUAUAUUUUGAUAAAAGGUAAACGAGUUUCUAUUAUUUCAGUAGGAAAGGAUCAUAUUGUUAAACUGUUUUCCUACUGUGCAAUAGGUUUUACACCAAUAGGUAGAUUGAAAACAUCCUCAACAUUCGAUGGUGAGCAAUUUGGUACUUUUUCUAUAGUUUUAGUCUUUCAAAUAUUCAAAAAUACAAUUGAUUUAUAUACGUUUCACAUUUGUAGGAGCAAAGAUUAGCAUGAAGCAUCGAAGAUAGCAUAAUCAAUGCUGCCAUGGGAUGAUGGGAGACAAAAUUACCAGAGGUAUAUAUUAGCAGCUACAUAUUUAUAUUACUGCAGUUUUUUCUUUUUUGUUUUUUUUUUGUCAACUACUGCUGUUUUUUCAGUACACAAUAUUCUUUCAAAUAUUUGAUAUUUCAAUAAACAACAAUAAGAAAGUUAUUUUUCAAUCUACUACAUCCUCUUGACUACCAUAAAUAAUGUUUAGUGAGAUAAUGGAAUUUGUCAGGUGAUGUUAUAGUUAUCUAAGAUAACUUUUUGAAGUCUUUCUAGAUAUAUAUAAUGGUUAUGUUUAUCUUUUUGUGUGUUCUGCAAAAUAAUGUGAAACUAUCCAUUUAUAAUUAUAGUUACCCAUUUCUAUUAUAUCCAACUUAAAAAUUUUCAAAAUAUUUGUAAGAAAAAAUAAUUCCAUGCGAAGCAUGGGGUCAAUACUAGU